rnacentral:lncRNA from 1 species
CAAAAAAGAGGAACCGGAAAGAAAGAAAGACAGUUCCGGGGAAAGAAAGAGAGAGAGAGAGAGAGAGAGAGACUUAGAGAGAGAGAGAGAGAGAGAGAGAGAGAGAGAGAGAGAGAGAGAGAGAGAGAGAGAGAGAGAUGAAUUGAGAAAGGAAGGAGAAAGGGAAAGAGGAAGAGAGAGAGCAAGAGAGAGCUAGGGGACACAAUGGAUAGAGUGCCAGCCUUAGAAUCAGGAAGAUUAAUCUCCCUAAUUUAAAUCUAGCUCUGUGACCCUGGGCAAGUCACUUAACCCUGUUUGCCUCAGUUCUUCAUCUGUAAAAUGAACUGGAGAAAGAAAUGGCAAUCCAUUCCAGAAUCUUUGCCAACAAAAUCCCAAAUGGAGUCACAAAGAGUUGAACUGAAAAAAGACUGAAUAACA